AUGAGUCUACGGUCCACGCAGACAGGGCGGGCCGAUGGCCGGCGGCCGGGCCGCUAGGAGGCGGGGUGUGCAGAGAUAUCUUUAGUUCAGCACGCCUCCCCUCACAGCGCAGACACGGCAGAGGUAGGCAAGGGGAAGGCUCCACUUUAUUGGACUUUCACUUCUCAUUCGAGGACACUUGACACAUUUCCAAGACUGCUAUGACGUCUCGCAGACAAAAGCGGGUUGCUCAGACGUCGAGUCUGACAGUCGGUCAGGCGCUAAUUCGCGGCGUACUUCCUGAGUUCAGGGGGGGAACCGUCCCGGACAACAAUGACCUCGGUGCCAUCACACGCUGCCAGACGCUCGCUGCCAUUGUUGCCCUCGUCGGUUGGCCAUGGAGUCAGGCCCGUAUUAACACAAUGUGGUGCCCCCCUGGGCACUAUACCUCGAAGACCCCAACUCAAUUCCGACAGGUUGGGGAGGGGGAGUGAUAGUGGUCAUCUUGAUUUAUUUAUUGUUGUUAUUUUUGUGUAAUUAAUAUUCAUAAACGAGUCUUGUAUGGUCUUUCAACAAUUUUAAGUGAAUAAUAUAAAGAAAAUCGAAAAAUAUUUUUAAAGCUUGUUUCAUGUGGUGCCCCCCCCCCUCACUGGUUGUCAAUGGUUGGUGCCCCUGGGCACGGCCCACAUGCCCUUAUGGAUAAUCCGGCCCUGCAUGGAGUUGAACGCGCCCCGCUUGACAGGGCGUUCCUUUAGAGAAGCACAGUCAAAGUUAAAGUGUCCUUAAAGGGCGUUUCGGUGGAUUGUAGAGCGCUCCACACACACACACACACACACGCACACACACACACGCACACACACACACGCACACACACACACGCACACGCACACACACACACACACACACACACACACACACGCACACACACACACACACAGGAUAUGAACUGACAGGGGGUGAUGAAGAUGUUUGGGGCCACAUGAUGCUACCUGGUGUUGCUUCUCGAGCUAGCAGCGCCGCUUUGUAAAGCAGACGCUAGUGUUCAUUAUCUUUAAAGGGGUGCGGGGGGGGGGGGGGGGCUCUGCUCUUCCUCCUGUUUUUACGGAGACGUCGUCUGUGACUGAAGGGGGUCGGACCGACGGGAGACGGUGAGUCAGGCCGGCUGGAUAAGCAGACAGGAAGCCGUCCCCAUGUGGGAGAGGGAGAUAGCGGCACGGCCCGCGUUUCAAGGAACGCUCAGAGACACCGUUUGUUUGGGGCUCAGGACUCAUUCGUCCGGUCCUUCUUGUUUUCGAUUUUUUAUCAUUGAUUUUUCUUUAUUAAUAUUAUGGCAAGUAGCCACCCGCUGAAUGGUGACGCGUCGUCUUAGCAACACGAGUAAACCGGUUAGGGGAGGGAGAAGGUUCCCCGAGCUUAGUGCCAAAUGUCCUCAAAUUGUCUGAAUGCACUUUAACACACAAUCCUACUACCUUUAGUUGGAUGACUAAUCCUUGGCUGGGAGGCCAUAUGUUUCCACACCCCCAUGGCUGGUACCUUACUGCUGAGGUCAUGCACUUAAGAAGAGCCAAUGUUCCUUCAUCCAGUCCCCAACAAGUUAUUAAUCUGAAAACACUGCUGAGAACGAGAACAAUCUAACGACUCACUCCUCAAAUCAGUUGCCAAAUCCCGUUUUACUAAUACUUUCCCCUCCAAAUACACAGUGUACAGUCGCCCCACCACUUCAAGUGAAGCUGAAGGAGUACUCAGUCCAGGAAAUGCUAUUCCUCCUCUAAAUCUCCACCUGAGACCGUGAACCCGUCCAAAGGCAGAGGCAACAAUAACCGAGACAAAGACAUGUGAGAAUGUUUUUGAAAGAGGGAACACAGUGGUGAUUCCACCACGUUUUACAGUUCAGAGGAGUCAGUCAUAAAGACAAGUGUUCAGGGUUAGGGUUAGGGUUAGGGUUAGGGUUAGACAAGAAGUCAGAAAUAUAAUUGUUAGCGGUCAGAAAUAAAGGGUAUUUGAAGCGUUCAAGGCUAGAAACAAAGAAAUAGAUGGUAUUUGUUGGUGUUUAAAGCGUUGGUGAUAGGUAUCUCAAAAUAUGGACACGUUGGGUUAUAGAAACAUCCCCAAGUGACACAGCGGCAACAGAGAAACAGCGUGACCUUAAAUAGCGCAGAGGUCUAUGAAACUGAUUUGGCCAGUGUGUAGCUCUGUAGGUCAGAUUCUUAAGCAUGAAAAUACUAUUCCCUAACUGACAUUAGCCUGAUGUUGGGGUGAACAGGAAGUGGGCGGGGUAAGCAGGCGUAGACAUGUAUACAAAGACAAGGCAUUGGCCUUUGGAUCGUACGUCAACGUCACCGCCGCAUUGGAGAGGCAAAGACCGGCCAGUAAACGGUCUAGUAAACGUGAGCUGCCUUAUUUCUGGAAAAAAUUGACUCUUACAUUUACAAUUCUCUACUAAUUUCAGUUACUUAUUUUAAUCCAAGGUUUUAGGAUCUAAAUUAGGAGUUAAACAAUUAAAUAUAUAUUUUAUGAUAUUAUAUUUUAUAUAGGCCUUUAGGAUAAAAUAUCAUAUCAUAUUAUAUGAAUAUUUAUAAUGUUAUUUCAAAUUGAAAUCGGUUGACAAAUGUAAACGUUCUGAUCCAAAAAAAACAGCAGUUCCUGCAUUUCCGUUUACCUGCAAUGGUCAAGUAGUCACUCUGGCGUCUAUUUAAAUAUGUCUAUGAAGGCAGCCUACAUAGCAUCUCUUUUAUCAUUGAAGGUUUAACUCCAACGGGGAAAUAUGACUCACAGAGAUGUAGUCCCCCUUUAAUAAUAGCCAUGAUAGGUCUUGGAAUCAUGGUCCAUUGAAUCAUGGAUUAUUUUUGUUUUAGUUGUUCAUAACGCUAACACAAAGUGCUUAACAAGGGGAAUGACACAACAAGAACGAGACAUUUGUUUAUAGUUUGAGAUGUUAUAUUAUUUACAGAUUGUUAAAAGUAGUUAACAUUUUGUCAGUAGGGUUAUUAUUUUUCUAAAUAUCAAAGUACUGAAGUACAACUACCAUGUAGGCCCAUACAACGGAUAAAUGCAUGCAUGUGGUGCAUGAACGCGCUAAAGGAGCGGCAUUCAUUGAACGCGCUCAUGUAUUUGGUGAACGGUGAACUGAACGUACUCGACGCUCGCACGCUGUUUACCGGCUCCCGUGGGUUAACUGCGAGCGACAUGCCAGCAUGGCUUCAGAAAACAACGUAGCUACCGCUGAAGCCAAUAGUGCAUAUGAAUAUUUUAAAGAGUUUUGUGAACAAACGAGUACAGAUUUGAACGGUAGAAGUCUGAACGUCGGCCAACGUCAGUCUUGUGUCGGAAAUAUUUGCGACAUAAAGACGGUCGUCAAGAUAAGCAUUUGAGCCAACAGCUGCAAAGUUCCUCCACCCAAGUCCAACUGACCGGUCGCUGGGGGUAGCUCGGUGUUUCACUGUCCGCAUAAAUACUGUCUGCACAUUGUUUAAGGGGUAAAACAUAUACUCACAUUGUUUUUUCUUGGCUUUAGUAAUCUUGAUUCUACAGUAGUAUACAGUAAUUAAUUUAGUUUGGGCCGUGAGCAGUCGCAACGAUUGGGGGGCUGGGGGUGGAUGGGUAGGAGGAGGUUCUACUGAGAAAUAAUAGAAUACGGCCCUAAAUGUAAAUGUAGAAUAUAAUUUAAAAAAAGAAAUGAAUGUGAGCAGUUCAUUUUCUGGGACUGUGAACUGAGUUCAAAAUUCAAAAUUGUGAACCAUGGCCAUGAACUAGUUCAUUUUAAACUGUGUGACCUGAGCUAGCUCCGGUGAAGUGUGAACUUGCCGACCACACCGCCGCCGUCUAACCCCGGUGUCCCUGCCGCCCGU